rfam:Gossypium hirsutum cultivar TM-1 chromosome 14, whole genome shotgun sequence
AGUUGAAGUUUUCAUCCCUUCUGUUAAAAAUUGGCAUGACUGAUGAAAUAAUUAGAUAGUUACACAUGGCAUAUGCUACAUGUAUCUCAUGUCGAUGUAAAUAGAUAAGCUUUUAAUAGUAGAAUCGAAUGAAAAUUUUAAAA